GGCGCUGUAGCUCAGCAGUUAGAGCGCUGGCCCUGCAAACCUGGGUGGUGAGUUUGAACCUUGCCUGGGCCU
rnacentral:tRNA from 1 species